rnacentral:tRNA from 1 species
ACCUGUUUGGCUCUGUGGGUUAAGUGCCUGACUUUGGCUCAGGGCAUGAUCUCACAGUUUGUGGGUUCGAGGCCCACAUCAGGCU